CCCUUAGAUGUUCUGGGCCGCACGCGCGCUACACUGAUGCAUUCAACGAGUCUAAAACCUGCUCUGAUAGGGGUGGGUAAUCUUUUGAAUGCGCAUCGUGAUUGGGAUAGAUGAUUGCAAUUUUUCAUCUUCAACGAGGAAUGCCUAGUAAACGCAAGUCAUCAGCUUGCAUUGAUUACGUCCCUGCCCUUUGUACACACCGCCCGUCGCUCCUACCGAUUGAAUGAUCCGAUGAAUAUCAUGGAUUGAGGAUGCAAGCAGGUUCGCCUGUCUUCAUCUUCGAGAAGUGAAGUAAAUCUUAUCAUUUAGAGGAAGGAGAAGUCGUAACA
rnacentral:rRNA from 1 species